UACGGAGGGAGCUAGCGUUGUUCGGAAUUACUGGGCGUAAAGCGCGCGUAGGCGGCUUUGUAAGUUAGAGGUGAAAGCCCGGAGCUCAACUCCGGAACUGCCUUUAAAACUGCAUCGCUUGAAUCCAGGAGAGGUGAGUGGAAUUCCGAGUGUAGAGGUGAAAUUCGAUAGAUAUUCGGAAGAACACCAGUGGCGAAGGCGGCUCACUGGA
rnacentral:rRNA from 1 species